rnacentral:piRNA from 1 species
GUGGGCUGUUAUCUUGCUG